GGGUAAACAUUUAGCAGCAGUACGAGGAAGCGUGGAGCGGUGCGAGGGAGAACUUAGGAGAACUUGGACGAGCAUUUGGUCUAUUUUUACGCAACCUGCAAUCAACCUGAGGCCCGAAUCUACGGCCAUCACGUUGUGAUGAGGGCAUCCGUUAAAGGCGAUGAAAGAAAUCUGGCACAAAAUUUGCUGACAUCAAGCACCUCAAAGAGAGGGUUAUGAAACUGGUACAAAUCACAAGAAUGUGCAGAUUUAUGAAGUCCAAUCAUCUCAACCACUGACUCUGUGCUACACAGUGGCAAACUGAAAUACUGGAGGACUUCAGCGAUCAUUGUUCGAACCAGGAACUGAUUCUGAAGAACGGUGCCUAUCUACACACUGACAGGAUUGGUUUCUUAGGUUUGUUAUGUAUGAAACUCUCAGAAGUCUGAAUCCAUGUUUUUGAGUUUUUCUUGCUACAUUGCAGUUGAAAGGCGGAAGUGCUCAGCCAUGGAAGUGACUGCUAAUUCCACUCAUGAUAAGUCUUCCAGCAAAAAAAAAAGAAAAAAAAAACACCAACUGGGCAUGUUAACAAUAUUAAAUACUUUUUUUUUUUUUUUUAAACAGCAAAAUAUAGACUAGCUUACUUCUUUAUAACUGUAUCUAUAUGAAUGAAUUAAUAAAUGAAGUUAUUUUAUGUCUACAACAUAAAUCAUCAGUUACUGACAAAGUACUAUCUCUAUAUUUGAGAAAAUAAAAUACCCACUUUAAAAAGUC